rnacentral:sRNA from 1 species
AGCAUUGUAAACAAAGCGUGUUGUGUAAACGCGCAGUACAUUGUGCUGCUUUUCAUAUUUAAUACUUAGCGAAAACAAAUAUGCAGAAAGUAAUCAUGUAAGUAAAGUUUUCUUUGUGAUAUGUGGUUAUGCUUUUUAUGAUAUAUGUUGAUAACUUGUAAAUUAAAAAAAAGGAUGUUUGUAUAUAGUAUAUUAGAUCUUAAAAACUGGACCAGGUGUGUAAGCUUUGAUAGCCACCCCCCCCCCCCUUCCCUGUAACCGGAAGUCGUGAUCUUGUCUGGUGUUGACCGGAAAUUGUUGAUGUAAACAAUAACAUGUGAUUUUCUAUUUUUGGUCUGUUGCUUUCAAUCCCCCCUCAUAGCCAAGCAUAACUAUUGUAAGCUAAUUCUCCCCUUUUAAGAUUAAUAUUUCAUUUUGAUUUUAUUCAUUUAUUUCCAUGAUAAAGAUAUAUAGUAGACAUGUUAUUGUACCUGAUAUGAAUUGUGUGAUUAUAUAAUGGUGUUUUUAAUUAACACAUGAACUUUUCUGUGACAUCAUUAUGCACAUUCAUUUUAAAUAUGCAGUGUACCAUUGUUUUAUAUCUUUUAUUGUGUUUAUAAUUGAUUACACACUUUUGCGACGGACUCCAAAUAAUAAAGAAGUGAAUUGUAUAUUCAAUUUGUCUCUUGUCCUGUAUUAAUCACCAGAGCCCCAUUCACACGGUGAUAGCAAUAUGCAGCAUCUUCUGUAUGUGAAUACUUGAGUCAGGGAAACUUGCUUCUCAUGAGGGUAAAUACCAACGAUUUUUUUGUCUGCGGGUAUGAUUUUGCUGGUUCGGGUUCGAUUUUUAAAGUAAGAAAUACAAGUUUAUCUGCAUCUGUAAGCCUGGAACUCUAAUAUAAACACGGAUCAACAAAAACUUUCUAUAGUUUGAAAUCUAAAAUUAUAUCGAGUUGACUUUCUCCGGUUGUAAAAGGCGAAAAAACUCGUCUAUGGUCCAGGGCUUGAUCAGAAAAUUUAAGAUUGGUGGAGCUUUCUUAGGUUUUCAUUAACAAGCCGGAGUUUCAGGAGAUUUAUAAUUUAAAACAGACUCGCAUUUUGAAUCGAUUAGAAUAUCCACCAUUUUAAUCCCUUAUUAAUUUCCGAACAUUCUUGAAAUUUACUCUAAAGUGUUGAUGCUAUGUGUGUACAUUAAUUUUUAAAGCUGUACACCGCUCAUAUAUAGGCACUGUCCGCCAUAUUAAUUUCUCUGUCAUCACCGCUCAUCUACAACCCCUAUAUAAGCCAUAUACCUCUUAACAGGUCAAAGUAUGUCGCUGUAGAGGUCUCACCUCUGUGAAUGUACAUCUUGCCUCGACACACACUAAAUGUGCACCUGCAUAAUCAUUCUGUUCUGGAAACUAAGUAUGUUUUCUAUUUAACAGAUUGUGUAUUCACGUUUGACCAAUGGCUGACUUUUAUAGCUUUUUAAAGCUGAACACUGCUCGUAAAAUAGGCACCGUCACACAGGUACAAGGGUUGAUCCAAAAGUAAUGUCACACUUUGCACUGCCCUUCUCAUUGGCGCUGUCUUGUAUAAAAUAAUACAUCAAGAUUUUCCUUAUCAAAAUUCUAAUUUAAGGUAAUUUUUUUAAUGAAAUUUCUUUGAACACUUAACAAGAUAUUGAUGUACAUGACAUCGCCGCGUCAUGAAUUUUUUUUAUGGUUUGUAUAUAUGAAUAAAUUACAUGCUUCAAAAUUUUAAAAUACCCCAAACAACACAAUAUUUUAAAACAGAUAUAUAAUUAGUUAUUUCCUUACUGUUUUAAAAAUUAGGGACUGUUACUGUCCAUUUCGGAUAUCUACCAAAUGCCUUUUGUCUCUUGUUCAAGGGAUAAAAAGCUGGACAUUCGAUGCAUGUUUUGCUUCGAUGGAUAGAAAUCACUAGAAAAUGUAGUGGAAUUGAUAUAUCAACCUAAAAUUGAGAGUGAGUGAACAUGGUACCUUAGUCGUGGUUCCAAUACCUAAUAAAAGCAUGUCAUGUUAAUAAAUAAAUUAUAGAGAUAGAAGACAUACGCUCUGAAGGAAAAUUAAAGCUGCGUUCUUACGUCAAUGGCUAUAUCAUAAAGCUACGUUCAUGACUUCAUGAAGAGACCUUGACAAAAUGAUCGAGUAUUACAUAAUCCAAUAUACUACUUCAUCGAUUACAAGAAGAUAAAUUAGCUACUUUAUGGAAAAAA